rnacentral:lncRNA from 1 species
UGGUUUUGUCGCAAGAAGGGUCAUCUUCACACAAUCCCAUGUAAUGAACAAGAAUGGGAUAAAGAGUUGGCUUACAAUCGCCACUUCACACAAUACAUAAAAAAUCAUACAUCAAUCAGAGUACACACAUAGACCGACCAUGGUCAAAGUCAAAAGAAACAAGAUAACCCAACUGCUAGAUCCCUGAUCGCCCCAACUGGGCUCCACUACUGAGCAACAUGAUAAGAAACAACACAAUGAACAAGAUCUUCAUCGAGCUCCCACUUGAGCUCGGUUGCGUCACCUGGACUGGUAUCCUCGGCACCUGCAACUGUUUUGGUAGAAUCUGUGAGUCACGAGGACUCAGCAAUCUCAUACCCGCGAGAUCAAGACUAUUUAAGCUUAUAGGAAAGGAUGGGGUAAUGAGGUGGAGCUGCAGCAAGCACUAAGCAUAUAAGGUGGCUAACAUACGCAAAUGAGAGCGAGAAGAGAAGCAACGGAACGGUCGUCAACUAGUAAUGAUCAAGAAGUGAUCCUGAACUCCUACUUACGUCAGGCAUAACCCCGAAACCGUGUUCACUUCCCGGACUCCGCCGAAAAGAGACCAUCACGGCUACACACGCGGUUGAUGCGUUUUAAUUAGGGUCAAGUGUCAAGUUCUCUACAACCGGAUAUUAACAAAUUCCCAUCUGCCACAUAACCGCGGGCACGGCUUUCGAAAGAUAAUACCCUGCAGGGGUGUCCCAACUUAGCCCAUUAUAAGCUCUCACGGUCAACGAAGGAUAAACCUUCUCCCAGGAAGACCCGAUCAGACAUGGAAUCCCGGUUUACAAAACAUUUCGACAAUGGUAAAACAAGACCAGCAAGACCACCCGCUGUGCCGACAAAUCCCGAUAGGAGCUGCACAUAUCUCAUUCUCAGGGCACACCGGAUGAGCAAGACGUCGGGUAGGCAUAGACCCUGGUUGCCCAGGGGGCGCCGGACAACGCUCAGUUUGGACCAGCACUCAAAGGAGAACUGGCCCGAGGGUUUAAAAUAAAGAUGACCCUUCAGUCUGCAGAACCCAAGGGAAAAAGGCUUAGGUAGGCAAAUGGUAAAACCAAGGUUGGGCCUUGCUGGAGGAGUUUUAUUCAAAGCAAACUGUCAAGGGGGUCCCAUAAAUCACCCAACCGCGUAAGGAACGCAAAAUCAAGGAACAUAACACCGGUAUGACGGAAAACUAGGGAGGCAAGAGUGGAACAAAACACCAGGCAUAAGGCCGAGCCUUCCACCCUUUACCAAGUAUAUAGAUGCAUUAAUUAAAUAAGAGAUAUUGUGAUAUCCCAACAUAAUCAUGUUCCAACAUGGAGCAAUCUUCAACUUCACCUGCAACUAACAACGCUAUAAGAGGGGCUGAGCAAAAGCGGUAACAUAGCCAAACAACGGUUUGCUAGGAAAGGAUGGUUAGAGGCUUGACAUGGCAAUAUGGGAGGCAUGAUAUGGCAGCAUAGCAAUAGAGCGAACAACUAGCAAAGAAAAGAUAGAAGUGAUUUCGAGGGUAUGGUCAUCUUGCCUGAGAUCCCGCUAGGAAGAAGAACGAGUCCAUGAAGAAGACAAACGGAGGAAGUCGAACGAAUCCUCACAACUCCGGAACGAAACCGAAGCUAACGAGAGAAGCAACCCGGAAAGAAACAAACAACAUAGUAAACAACCACCAUAUACACAUGGCAUGAUGCACAAACAAGUAUGAUGCAUGUCCGAUUUAAAGAGCAUGGCAUGGCAAAGUGCAACAAACAACACUACAAAUUAAGUGGAGCUCAAUAUGUAACGAGUUGCAUAUUGACGAAACACCACAUCAAUUAUUUAGUUCUCUCUCGCUUAUGUACCCAACAAUAUUAAAUGUUGAUUAACAUGGCAAGAGGUGAAGCAUAAUUAAACUACCUAUUUAAUCAAGUUAAAUUAGGCCGGAAAUAAUAAACAACAAUUCCGGAAAAUCCCCAUAUCCAUAUUUUGGAUUUGGUACUGUUCUGCCAUAAACGCAAUUUUAAUGUUGUUAAACAGCAAAAUAAAGUGCAGCAAGUUAAUCUAUGCAUUUUUCUACCCCAUUUACAUAUGAAGUUUAUUAAAAUCCGAGUUACGGUUAUUUAGUUAUGAAAUAAAUCAUUUUAACAUGGAAAUCGAGCAAAUUUAAACAAACAGCAUUUUAAAUAUUUUAAACAAGGAUGAAAGUUGCAUACUGUUAAAGAACAUGAAAAUAUGAACAAAAUGCAUAUAUGACAUGUUUCAUUUGAAUGCAUGGACCUUUAGUUAUCAACAAUGCAAAACCAGUGGCAUUUCUGCAAAUAUGCAUGCACUUGGAAUUAGACAAAUCGCAGUGAACAUAAAAAAAGGAUGCGGGCCGAAUGCUGCGCACUGUGGAAGCCCAGCAGCAGAUCUGGCCCGAAGCGGCUGAGUGUCUGUGAGCAAAAAAAAUAAAAGGAAGUAGUGCAGAAAAUAGGGGCUCCUGGGAUUCGAACCACAGACCUCCUAGAUGAAGGAGCGUGGUGCGAACCACUGCGCUACCGCGGCUGCAGUUGAUAGGAAAGGGCGCGGCCCCUUAAGAGAUUGCCUAGGGCGGAGCCUCUCUGUAUAGGCAGAGAAGACAACGGCUGCGAGGACGGAGACGGCGAGCUUAGCCGUGGUGAUGACGGGGCUUCUAGGUGCAGGGGCGUGUGCGUGUGCGGGGUGAGGCCAGCGGAGGGGCGCGCUAGGCGAGAACCGGAGCACGGAGACGCUACUGCAUCUACGCGAGCAACAGAGAACUACAGGCGCCAACCAUGAACGGCGGCCUAGUGGUGAUGAUGCGUGAGGAUAUGCAUGUGAUGUUUGCCGUGUUCUGGAGUUGCACGCGCAGGUGAAAGGACGGGGCAGCCGUGUGCAACUGUGUGUGUGCGCGCUAGGCAGGCUAGGAAAAGGGCGCGGGUGCUCGACUUGGGGCACGACAAGCAGCGGCAACGGCAACAGGGCACGGUGAGCCGGCGGCAAAGCUGCAGAAGAAGGCGCGAGGCCAGUGGGAUGUCUACGGAGCCAACUGGGCCUCGAGAUGCACGGGAUGCAGAGAGCGUGCUGCUGGAUCCUGAGAAAAAUUCAGAAAACACUGGAGCAGCGAGAGCACGACGCGAAACCAAUCCUAGGCACGUCUACGGCGAUCGAUAUGCGGCAGGAGAAGAGAGAGGGGGAGCAGGUAUACCUAGCUCACCCUAGGACACGGAUGCAUCGACGUAGAUGAGCCAUCGGCGACGCGGACGAGCUCUAAACCCAACGGAGUUCCUGUCCGAGGAAGAAGAAAGCAGAGGAAGACGCCAGGCGCGGGACUUGGCGACUCCUUAUGUGACGCAGAUGUAGUAGCGGGCGAAGAGGACGUCGACGGACUUGCCGGACACGAACGGCGAGGAAGAAGAUGAAGGAGUUCACGGCGGCG